UACGUAGGGUGCAAGCGUUGUCCGGAAUUAUUGGGCGUAAAGAGCUCGUAGGCGGUCUGUCGCGUCGGCUGUGAAAAUCCCGAGGCUCAACCCUCGGGUCUGCAGUUCGAAUACGGGCAAACUAGAGUAUUGCAGGGGAGACUGGAAUUCCUGGUGUAGCGGUGAAAUGCGCAGAUAUCAGGAGGAACACUGGUGGCGAAGGCGGGUCUCUGGGCAAUAACUGACGCUGAGGAGCGAAAGCGUGGGGAGCGAACAGG
rnacentral:rRNA from 1 species